rnacentral:misc_RNA from 1 species
AAGUCGUAACAAGGUUUCCGUAGGUGAACCUGCGGAAGGAUCAUUAACACGUAUCCAAACGUUAAACAACCCCGUGAACAUACAACCUGCUCUGGUCGCCCGCUCGCAUGGACAAGCCCAGUAAAUCAAGCCCCGGAAAGUUUUUGAUUUGGGACCUCUGUGCGCGUGAGAAAAACUGACAGCGAUUCAUAGAAGCGGUAGGUCAAGUGACACGGCGUCCCCAAGUGACCAGUGAAUGAAAGUGUCGCUGGAGCGUCAAGGACGACUCUUCAAGAUUGCUAGAGGUCGACCACCGACCGGCUUCCGUGUAUACCGAGCUAACACCACUUUAUUGCCUUGCCUGUAAGCAUCCAUACGGAUGGGCAGGCCCCCCGAACAACUGUUAACAAUGGAUAUCUUGGCUCUC